AUACGUAGGGGGCGAGCGUUGUCCGGAAUGAUUGGGCGUAAAGGGCGCGUAGGCGGCUUUGCAAGUCAGUAGUGGAAGUCCAUUUUUCAAGGAUGGAAGUGCUACAGAAACUGCGGAGCUUGAGUGCAGGAGAGGUUAUCGGAAUUCCCGGUGUAGCGGUGAAAUGCGUAGAGAUCGGGAGGAACACCGGUGGCGAAGGCGGGUAACUGGACUGCAACUGACGCUGAGGCGCGAAAGUGUGGGGAGCAAACAGGAUUAGAUACCCUGGUAGUCCACACUGUAAACGAUGAAUGCUAGGUGUAGGAGGUAUCGACCCCUUCUGUGCCGCAGUAAACACAGUAAGCAUUCCGCCUGGGGAGUACGGUCGCAAGAUUAAAACUCAAAGGAAUUGACGGGG
rnacentral:rRNA from 1 species